rnacentral:rRNA from 1 species
UACGUAGGUGACCAGCGUUGUCCGGAUUUACUGGGCGUAAAGAGCGCGCAGGCGGUCGUUCAAGUCGAGUGUGAAAGCCCCCGGCUCAACUGGGGAGGGUCACUCGAUACUGAUCGACUGGAAGGCAGGAGAGGGAAGCGGAAUUCCCGGUGUAGUGGUGAAAUGCGUAGAUAUUAGGAAGAACACCGGUGGCGAAGGCGGCCCACUGGAUCGGUACUGACGCUGAGGUGCGAAAGCGUGGGGAGCAAACAGG